CCGCCUCCUUCCGUCCGAGCCGUGCUCUCCCGCGGCUGCGCCGGCCCGGCAGUCCCGGAGACAAAGCAGCGCCGCCGCUGUCCCCCCCCCCUGAGCGGGUCCCGGGCCAUGGCCGGGCCGCCCCCCGGCCCCGCUCCUCCCGUGCCGCCGCCGCCCUAGGCCGCGCCGCGAGGGCUGUGAGCGCCAACUACAUGCCAAGCGCGGGAGUCCCCUGCCUCCUCGAGCAGGCAGAGAUGACGCAGAUGUGGAAACAGAGGCCCAGAGAGGCUUAAAGCUUGCCCAGGGUCACACAGCCCUAACACUGCAGAACUGACACUUGAGUCCAGAGAAGAGCAAGUCGAGACCACAGCUGGGCAGAGGCCGGCGAGGAAGCCUUUCUUGACUGACUAGGCAAGUGAGAUGAGGGAGCAAUCGCCCCCUCUGCCCUGGGUCAGGUUGCCUGGCUGGGCCCCCUGUGACCUGCCGCUCCCAGGAGAGCCACCACCCAUACCUCAUUCCUCCAAGGCCUGAGUAAGGCACCACGCAAGCUGGGAAAGAACAUUAAUUGAGCGCCUACUGCA
rnacentral:lncRNA from 1 species